CGAUUAGUACAUCUCUUAAUCCUCGUCAGAGAGGUGUUUAUUUCUAGAAUACCCACAUUGUUGAAGGGGCAGAGGAUGAGACUUCGAGGACUCAGCCCAACCGGGUCUGUGUCAUACCCCGCUUUCCAGGGCGCUGCGAUCAUGUGGGUGAGGCAGUGGUGGAUGAUGAAAAGCAAAGCCCUGGAGACCGCAGAGCACUGGCCAUGAUAUCAUGCACAGAACAUAAGCUUAAG
rnacentral:lncRNA from 1 species